UACGUAGGGUGCAAGCGUUGUCCGGAAUUAUUGGGCGUAAAGAGCUCGUAGGCGGUCUGUCGCGUCGGCUGUGAAAUCCCGAGGCUCAACCUCGGGUCUGCAGUCGAUACGGGCAAACUAGAGUAUUGCAGGGGAGACUGGAAUUCCUGGUGUAGCGGUGAAAAUGCGCAGAUAUCAGGAGGAACACCGGUGGCGAAGGCGGGUCUCUGGGCAAUAACUGACGCUGAGGAGCGAAAAGCGUGGGGGAGCGAAACAGG
rnacentral:rRNA from 1 species